rnacentral:rRNA from 1 species
UACAGAGGUCCCAAGCGUUGUUCGGAUUCACUGGGCGUAAAGGGUGCGCAGGUGGUCGGGUAAGUCUGACGUGAAAUCCCGCAGCUUAACUGCGGAAUGGCAUUGGAUACUAUUCGGCUAGAGGAUUGGAGGGGGGACUGGAAUUCCCGGUGUAGCAGUGAAAUGCGUAGAUAUCGGGAGGAACACCAGUGGCGAAGGCGAGUCCCUGGACAAUUCCUGACGCUGAGGCACGAAAGCUAGGGGAGCAAACAGG